UUAUAUAAUAAUUAUGGUGAUAAUAAUCUGUUAUAAAAAAGGAGAGGAGAAGAGGAGAACAAUGGAGAGCGGCGUUGAACGAAAGGAAAUUGGAGCUGCUAACCUUUCCGAUUGGAACGGUUCAGAGGCAUUGAGGAAAGAAAAUGUAUUGGAGAAGUAACUUGCUUGACUUCGGUUCUUUGGUAGAGCCAGCCUCACGCAUAUCAAGUCCAGGGAGCGCUAUCCAGUCAAACUCGUGUUGAAAUCUCUCAGUUAUGAUAUAAUGUCCUAUAUUUUUGGACACAUACAAUUUUAUUCUUUUAUUUUGGUGUAUUUGAUGUUCUUAGACUUAUUAUUGGAGAUUAUAUGUCCUUUAUGUGAUGAUUUUCAUGUUUUGGGAAAUGAUAUUUAGUAACACUAGAGUUUUCGCGUUA